AUACGGAGGGUGCAAGCGUUAAUCGGAAUUACUGGGCGUAAAGCGCGCGCAGGCGGCUAUUUAAGUUGGAUGUGAAAGCCUACGGCUCAACCGUAGAACUGCAUCCAAAACUAUUUAGCUAGAGUGUGGGAGAGGAAGAUGGAAUUAGUUGUGUAGGGGUAAAAUCCGUAGAGAUAACUAGGAAUACCAAAAGCGAAGGCAAUCUUCUGGAACACUACUGACGCUGAGGCGCGAAAGCGUGGGGAGCAAACGGGAUUAGAUACCCUAGUAGUCC
rnacentral:rRNA from 1 species